rnacentral:sRNA from 1 species
ACCCUUUGUGAACAUACCUCUGUUGCUUUGGCGGCUCUUUGCCGCGAGGAGCCACAGCUUCUCGCGCGCUUUCCGCCAGAGGACCUUCAAACUCCAGUCAGUGAACGUCGACGUCUGAUAAACAAGUUAAUAAACUAAAACUUUCAACAACGGAUCUCUUGGUUCUGGCAUCGAUGAAGAACGCAGCGAAAUGCGAUAAGUAAUGUGAAUUGCAGAAUUCAGUGAAUCAUCGAAUCUUUGAACGCACAUUGCGCCCCCUGGCAUUCCGGGGGGCAUGCCUGUUCGAGCGUCAUUACAACCCUCAAGCUCUGCUUGGUAUUGGGCGCCGUCCUCUCUGCGGACGCGCCUUAAAGACCUCGGCGGUGGCUGUUCAGCCCUCAAGCGUAGUAGAAUACACCUCGCUUUGGAGUGGUUGGCGUCGCCCGCCGGACGAACCUUCUGAACUUUUCUCAAGGCGGCGAGUGAAGCGGCAACAGCUCAAAUUUGAAAUCUGGCCCUUUCAGGGUCCGCAUUGUAAUUUGUAGAGGAUGAUUCGGCGAGGGCUCCCGCCUAAGUCCCCUGGAACGGGGCGUCAUAGAGGGUGAGAAUCCCGUAUGCGGUGGGUUGCCUUAGCCAUGUGAAUCUCCUUCGACGAGUCGAGUUGUUUGGGAAUGCAGCUCUAAAUGGGAGGUAAAUUUCUUCUAAAGCUAAAUACCGGCCAGAGACCGAUAGCGCACAAGUAGAGUGAUCGAAAGAUGAAAAGCACUUUGGAAAGAGAGUUAAAAAGUACGUGAAAUUGUUGAAAGGGAAGCGCUUGCAACCAGACUUGUCCGCAGUUGCUCAGCCGGUCUUCUGACCGGCGUACUCUUCUGCGGCCAGGCCAGCAUCAGUUCGGGCGGUCGGAUAAAGACCUCGGGAAUGUACCUCCUCUCGGGGAGUGUUAUAGCCCGGGGUGGAAUGCGGCCAGCCUGGACUGAGGAUCUCGCUUCGGCAAGGAUGCUGGCGUAAUGGUUGUAAGCGGCCCGUCUUGAAACACGGACCAAGGAGUCUAACAUCUAUGCGAGUGUUUGGGUGUCAAACCCAUACGCGUAAUGAAAGUGAACGGAGGUGGGAACCCGCAAGGGUGCACCAUCGGCCGAUCCUGAUGUCUUCGGAUGGAUUUGAGCAAGAGCAUA